CCCAGGCUCUCUCUUGGAUGGCUCCUGCUGGGGCAGGCAAGCCCCAGCUUGAAUGGAUGGGGGUGGGGGGAAGGAAUCUGGCAGACAUAGGAAAGACCUGAGGGCUUCAGGCUAACAGCCGGCAAGGAAACAAAGCCUGACAAUCAAUUGCAUGGCAGCCAGUGGAUCUUUUUGCUCUGAUCAGAUCUUGAAAUGCCUGGAACCCACGUGAGACCUCGAGCUGCAGGAAGCAGCUAAACUGUGGGGAUUCCUGCCGGACAGGAACUGAGAUAAACAGUGACUCCUAAGCACCAAAAAGCCCGCGGUAGGGCAAAGGCCUUCCAGCCUCUCUUCCACUCAUGCCUGUUGUCAUGAUGUUGUCCCUCGGGGAAGACCAGAAGAAUGGAGCCAAUUGAACCCCAUGAAGCACUAGGCAUGGUGACACAGGUCUGCAAUCUCAGAAUUCAGGAGCUGCCUGCUUCCCUUUUCUCAUGGUCUUAAGGUGCUUCUCUGCCAUUCGGUAUUCCUCAGCAUCUCCUCCAACGAGGCUACAUUCGCCUAAUCCUUUCCAAACAGCCACCAUCUGGGAAUCAAUGCUUCGGACAAGGGACAUCUUAUUCAAACUGUCACAAAAAGUCGCGGGGCACAUGAUUUUGAAUGUUAUGCCUCACACCUGGACCCUUCCUGUCUCCUCUCUGUCCUGGCCACCAUGAGGUAAGCUGCUUCAUUCAACCACUGCCACUAGGCUCUGACUGAGAAGCCACAGAACCAGGGGAGGGAAGCUCUGAAUCUGCAAGCCAAACCGGAUCUUUCCUUUUGGGCUGUUUCCCUGGUGCGUUUGUCACAGAGAUGAAAAGUCUGACGAAUACAGAAUACCUGCCAGGUGGCGUUGCCAGGACUGUCUGACCAUGUGGUUUAGAAACUUGGAACUGACCUGUGGAAUCUGGAAAAUUCUGGAGAAGUAAUGGAGAAACCCUAGGGUGAUGUAAGCAAAGUUUAGGGAGCCACAGUGUUGAGAGUGCAGAAGUCCAGAAUGCUGCUAGAACUGUGAACAAUAAAAAUUGUUCAGGAAGUUUCAGACAGGAACAUGACUCACAAAGGAUUAGAGACCAUCCAUGUUUGUGGUGAUUUGAAUGAGAGUGGCCCCAUAGACUCAAUGUUUGAGUUCUUGAUCUCCAGUUAGUGAAACCAUUUGGGAAGGAUUAAGAAGUGUUAUACCUCCUUGUUGGAGGAAGUGUGUCACUUUGGGGUGGGCUUUGAGAUUUC